rnacentral:rRNA from 1 species
UACGGAGGAUCCAAGCGUUAUCCGGAUUUAUUGGGUUUAAAGGGUGCGUAGGCGGCCUGUUAAGUCAGGGGUGAAAGACGGUAGCUCAACUAUCGCAGUGCCCUUGAUACUGAUGGGCUUGAAUGGACUAGAGGUAGGCGGAAUGUGACAAGUAGCGGUGAAAUGCAUAGAUAUGUCACAGAACACCGAUUGCGAAGGCAGCUUACUAUGGUCUUAUUGACGCUGAGGCACGAAAGCGUGGGGAUCAAACAGG